rnacentral:rRNA from 1 species
UACGUAGGGUGCGAGCGUUAAUCGGAAUUACUGGGCGUAAAGCGUGCGCAGGCGGUCUUGUAAGCCAGAUGUGAAAUCCCCGGGCUCAACCUGGGAAUGGCAUUUGGGACUGCAAGGCUGGAGUACGGCAGAGGAGACUGGAAUUCCUGGUGUAGCAGUGAAAUGCGUAGAUAUGCGGAGGAACACCGAUGGCGAAGGCAAUCCCCUGGGCCUCGCG